AACAUUUGGAUGGGCUUGCAUCAAUGAUAUAUCGGCACAAAACAGCUUCUUUAAAUUUCUUAUUGAAAACAAUAAUUUUCUGAAAUCGGCAGACUUUAUAGUCUGCAAUACAGCUUUUGACCUGGAGGCAGCUACAUUUUCAUUAUUUCCAGAGAUAUUGCCCGUAGGUCCACUCGCCGCGAGCAAUAAGCUUGGAAAUCAGGCAUCCAAUUUUUGGGCCGAAGACGAUGACUGUUUAGCAUGGCUUGAUCAACAACCGGCUUGUUCGGUUAUUUAUGCUGCCUUUGGAAGCACUGCUGAUAUUGAUCAAACACAAUUUCAGGAAUUGGCUUUAGGCCUUGAGCUAACGAACAAGCCGUUCCUGUGGGUUCUGCGUCCUGGAAUGUCAAAUGCAGAGCCUUUCUGGAAAGAGUUUGAAGAGAGAAUAGGAUGUCAUGGAAAAAUAGUAAGUUGGGCGCCACAGGAGAAAGUUCUGAGUCAUCCGUCAAUUGCUUGUUUCAUGAGCCAUUGCGGUUGGAAUUCUACUACAGAAGGUCUGAGCAACGGAGUUCCUUUCCUCUGCUGGCCUUACAUUGUUGAUCAGUUCCUCAACGAGACGUAUAUUUGUGAUGUCUGGAAGUUGGGACUGGGGUUCGAGAAAGAUGGGACUGGCAUCGUUACAAAAGAGGAAAUUAAGAAGAAGGUUGAGCAAAUAGUUGGUGACUUAAAUUAUAAAGCAAGGGCUGUGGAACUAAAAGAAAAAAUUGCUAACAGUGUGCGAGAUGGUAGCUCAUUCAAGAACUUUGGCAAGAUUGUGGAGUGGAUGAGAUCUAUAUGAUUCGGGAUUUUAGAUGCAGUAUGGAGAUUGAAUCAUUAGUAUUGUAAUUGUAUUACAGUCUACAGAGGUUUGCGGAAAUAAUCCCAUCUGCUAUACCUGCAUUUGGUUGAUAUUCCUGUUUAUAGACUUAUACGUACUACUAAAAAUAUACUAUGUGAUUAUGACAAAAAAAUGAAUUUACUAUAUGACAUUACUAAUAUCUCUGGCUCAACUCGAGAAUUGCUGUGAACAGAUAUUCGGUAAGAUAAGUCAUAUUUGUCAAAAAAAAAUAACUUCACAAGCUAGUUGGCCAGGUCUUAGCAUAAUUUAUAGAGUUAAUUGCAAUUGGCACCCCUUUGGUUUCGGCUUAUUGCACAUUGCACCUAAUAGUUUUGGAAAAUACACUUUGCAUCCCCAGAUUUUUAAUCCGUAGACACUUUGCACCCUUUCCGUUAAAUUCUGCCGUUACCGUUAAUUUUUGCAGGGGCAUUUUGGGAAAUUUAAUUAUAUUUAAUUAAAAUCAGAUCUUUAUUUAAAUUUUUUGACCAUCUAAACGAUAUUUUUCGGAAAAACUUAAAGAACGAAAGUUGUAGAGAAUAAAAGGAUCUUCUUAGAACUAUAAGGUUCAAAAUUUUCGUAAUUCUUUUUAUAAUUAUUUUUAAAAAAUUCAAAAAUUAGCAAUCUUGUAAAAAUGAACAAUCAUUUUUAAAUAAUUAUUUAAAUUUUGAACCUUAUUGUUCUAAAUAGAUCUUUUUAUUCUCUACAAUUUUCGUUGUUUAAGUUUUUCCGAAAAAUAUUGUUUAGAUGGUCAGAAAAUUUAAAUAAAAGUAUGAUUUUAAUCAAAUAUAAUUAAAUUUACCAAAAUACCCCUACAAAAGUUAACGGUAACGGCAGAAAUUAACAGAAAGGGUGCAAAGUGUCUACGGGUUAAAAAUCUGGGGCUGCAAAGUGUAUUUUCCAAAACUAUUAGGUGCAAUGUGCAAUAAGGCGAAACCAAAGGGGUGCCAAUUGCAAAUUGCAAUUAACUCUAAUUUAUAUUGUCAAUCAGAUUUAACUCUGAAAGAGCAAGAAAAUGCUCAGCUCUUUGUGUUCUUAUUCUAAAUGAUGUAAAAUCUUUUUAUAAGUGGAUAAGUUUAGUAAAAAUAGCAAAACAAAUAGGCCUGGAAAAUGCUUGAGUGCAUAAUUUUAGAUAAUUUCUAUAAAAUUUUAUUAUUUUCAUGUUACAUGAAUCACACUUGUUACUGCUAAAGAAGAGUGAAACCCACCGCCUAACUUCAAAUCAUUUUGAUUUCUUCGAAAGUGAAAUAAACAGAAUAUAUGUCCCUGACCAAAACAUAAAAGGACCAAAUCACAUGUGUUGGCACAGUCGAUCAUUUUUUUUAAGGUACAAGGUCUCAAAUAUUAUCAUCGGAGAAGAUGGCCUCAAAUAUUAUUUUGCAAUCCAAAACGCUAGAUCAUGUAUUUUUAUCCCUUUUUCACUUCUUAACAUCAGAUUGAUUGUGUAGUGUUUUGAAACUCUGCAAGCUUAUUCAUGCAGCGUUUACACUAUGUGUUACAUUUUAUAGUGAUUAUUAGAUUUAAACACAAUAUUAUAUAUCAUUAUCUUGUAAGAAUCAAUACACUGGAUUGUACGGCCUUAAUAAAUGAUAUUUCGGAUCAUGUUUCACAACUAUCAUAGUUUGGACAUUACUUGAAGAAAUCGUGAUCUGCAGGUCUUUUGUCCAAAUCAGAAAAGAAGGGUGCAGGAGAAAGGGAACAUGAAAGAAAGAAAGAAAAGAGAGCGAGAUAUGAACGAUGAGAAACAAAAACCACCCAAAUUUGGCACGACAAAAUUAACCGUGCAUGUGGGCAAAAUUUGAUCAUGUGUAGUAUCUUUUUUGUCAGAAGAAUUGAUAGUUAGCCUAACAGACAACCAAACCAGUUAAAUGAACAUUAAACUAGGCCAACUAAAGAAUCUGCACAUAAGCUGCAGUACAAGCUACUCAGUAAACAACUGAGAAUCACAACGAUAGAGAUAUGAUGAGCCCUCUCCUGCAUGGCUGCAUGUCAUAGCAAUACCAUACCAUAGCAAUAACAUUAAACUAGGCCAUGUAAUUCCAAUGAUGAAAUUUGUGCGAAAAGUCACAGAACAUGGUAUCAGAGCUACGUUUGUAAACACUGAUUUUAAUCACAUGCGUGUCCUUGAAGCAAUGUCGAAGAAAGACGUUGAUGUAAACGAGGAUAUGAUAAGCCUGGUUUCGAUUCCAGAUGGAUUGGAACUAGGGGGGGAUAGGACUGAUUUUUUAAAGGCCAAUGAAGCAAUGAGGAGAGUGAUGCCUGGUAAGCUGGAGGAGCUGAUUAAAAACAUGAAGAGUGAAGGUAAAAAUGUAGCUUGUGUUGUUGCUGAAGGAGCUACUGGAUGGGCUUUCCAGGUUGCGAAAAAUAUGGGGAUUAAGGGACUUGCUUUCUAUCCUGUAUCAGCUACCACAUUUGCUGUCUUCCGUAGUAUCCCUAAGCUUAUUGAAGAUGGUGUAAUAGACAAGAACGGUGAGAACUCUUUCUCUUCCCUAUAAUUAUAUUUCGGAAAAUGCUUUACACACAAAAUCGGAUAAGAAAUCUUUCACAAAACGACAUAUGUUGAGAUUUGAUUAGAAUGAGCUCCCUGUUAGCACAUAUAUAGCACCAAUUAUAAUAUCUUACCUCAAUUAUCAUGUCAUUUUAUACCCAAUUUUAUGCAUGUAGCAAACAACUGAGUUCCGGAGUUUAAUAAAUUUCAAUGCAGGGACCAUUUUAAAGAAGCAGAAGAUCCAUCUAUCAGCCACAAUGCCUGCAAUCAAAACCGAAACAUUUGGAUGGGCUUGCAUCAAUGAUAUAUCAGCACAAAACAGCUUCUUUCAAUUUCCUAUAGAAAACAAUAAUUUUUUGAAAUCGGCAGACUUCAUAGUCUGCAAUACAGCUUUUGACCUGGAGGCAGCUACAUUUUCAUUAUUUCCAGAGAUAUUGCCCGUAGGUCCACUCACCGCGAGCAAUAAGCUUGGAAAUCAGGCAUCCAAUUUUUGGGCCGAAGACGAUGACUGUUUAGCAUGGC
rnacentral:lncRNA from 1 species